rnacentral:rRNA from 1 species
GAUGAACGCUAGCUACAGGCUUAACACAUGCAAGUCGAGGGACCGGCGCACGGGUGAGUAACACGUAUCCAACCUGCCCUUUACUCGGGGAUAGCCUUUCGAAAGAAAGAUUAAUACCCGAUAUAAAGGACGGGGAUGCGUUCCAUUAGGUUGUUGGUGAGGUAACGGCCCGCCAAGCCUUCGAUGGAUAGGCGUUCUGAGAGGAAGGUCCCCCACAUUGGAACCGAUACCCGGUCCAAACGCCAACGGGAGGCAGGAGUGAGGGAGAUUGGUCAAUGUACGUUAGCCUGAACCAGCCACGUAACGUGAAGGAUGAAGGCUUAUGGGUCGUUAACUUCUUUUAUAUAAGAAUAUGUAUUAUAUGAAUAAAGAUCGGCUAACUCCGUGCCAGCAGCCGCGGUGAUUC